rnacentral:rRNA from 1 species
ACUCCUACGGGAGGCAGCAGUGGGGAAUAUUGCACAAUGGGCGCAAGCCUGAUGCAGCGACGCCGCGUGAGGGAUGACGGCCUUCGGGUUGUAAACCUCUUUCGGUAGGGACGAAGCGCAAGUGACGGUACCUAUAGAAGAAGCACCGGCCAACUACGUGCCAGCAGCCGCGGUAAUACGUAGGGUGCGAGCGUUGUCCGGAAUUACUGGGCGUAAAGAGCUCGUAGGUGGUUUGUCGCGUUGUUCGUGAAAACUCACAGCUCAACUGUGGGCGUGCGGGCGAUACGGGCAGACUGGAGUACUGCAGGGGAGACUGGAAUUCCUGGUGUAGCGGUGGAAUGCGCAGAUAUCAGGAGGAACACCGGUGGCGAAGGCGGGUCUCUGGGCAGUAACUGACGCUGAGGAGCGAAAGCGUGGGGAGCGAACAGGAUUAGAUACCCUGGUAGUCCACGCCGUAAACGGUGGGUACUAGGUGUGGGUUUCCUUCCUUGGGAUCCGUGCCGUAGCUAACGCA